rnacentral:rRNA from 1 species
GACGAACGCUGGCGGCGUGCCUAAUACAUGCAAGUAGAACGCUGAAGGAGGAGCUUGCUUCUCUGGAUGAGUUGCGAACGGGUGAGUAACGCGUAGGUAACCUGCCUGGUAGCGGGGGAUAACUAUUGGAAACGAUAGCUAAUACCGCAUAAUAGUAGAUGUUGCAUGACAUUUGCUUAAAAGGUGCAAUUGCAUCACUACCAGAUGGACCUGCGUUGUAUUAGCUAGUUGGUGGGGUAACGGCUCACCAAGGCGACGAUACAUAGCCGACCUGAGAGGGGGGUCGGCCACCCUUGGACGGAGACACGGCCCAGAAUCCUACGGGAGGCAGCAGUAGGGAAGCUUCGGCAAUGGACGGAAGUCUGACCGAGCAACGCCGCGUGAGUGAAGAAGGUUGUCGGAUCGUAAAGCUCUGUUGUAAGAGAAGAACGAGUGUGAGAGUGGAAAGUUCACACUGUGACGGUAUCUUACCAGAAAGGGACGGCUAACUACGUG